CCUACGGGCGGCUGCAGUGGGGAAUAUUGCACAAUGGGCGCAAGCCUGAUGCAGCCAUGCCGCGUGUGUGAAGAAGGCCUUCGGGUUGUAAAGCACUUUCAGCGGGGAGGAAGGCGUUAAGGUUAAUAACCUUGGCGAUUGACGUUACCCGCAGAAGAAGCACCGGCUAACUCCGUGCCAGCAGCCGCGGUAAUACGGAGGGUGCAAGCGUUAAUCGGAAUUACUGGGCGUAAAGCGCACGCAGGCGGUCUGUCAAGUCGGAUGUGAAAUCCCCGGGCUCAACCUGGGAACUGCAUUCGAAACUGGCAGGCUAGAGUCUUGUAGAGGGGGGUAGAAUUCCAGGUGUAGCGGUGAAAUGCGUAGAGAUCUGGAGGAAUACCGGUGGCGAAGGCGGCACCCUGGACGAAGACUGACGCUCAGGUGCGAAAGCGUGGGGAGCAAACAGGAUUAGAUACCCGAGUAGUC
rnacentral:rRNA from 1 species